CCCUUAGAUGUUCUGGGCCGCACGCGCGCUACACUGAUUCAUGCACUAAGUAUAUAACCUUGGUAGAAAUGCUUGGGUAAUCUUUGAAACUGAAUCGUGCUGGGGAUUGGAGCUUGUAAUUAUUCUCCAUGAACGAGGAAUUCCUAGUAAACGCGAGUCAUCAGCUCGCAUUGAUUACGUCCCUGCCCUUUGUACACACCGCCCGUCGCUCCUACCGAUUGAGUGGUCCGGUGAGGCUUUGGGAUCUGAGCGGAAAGAGCGUUUCGCUGUUUCUGCCCGGAAAACUCAGUCGAACCUUAUCAUUUAGAGGAAGGAGAAGUCGUAACA
rnacentral:rRNA from 1 species